CGCGCGGGCCGGGGCCGUGAGGGGCGCGCGGCCCGGAACGUUUAAAGGGCAAAUUAAAGUUAUCUGGGGCUGGCGGGGAACGCGGGCUCGGAGCAUGUGCCCGCUGUAUUAAUAGCACAGGGGGGGACGCGGGCAGCUGGCAGCAGAGCUCCAGGCCGAAUUAACCGUUCCGCGCAGGCCCGAGGCAGUGGCUGGGGGCCGAGGCCUCUUCUCGUGAACCACAGCUCUGAGAAGUGGAUGACAGCUAUAACUUCCAGGAGCACCCUUUGCACCAUGGUCAUCCUGAGAAGAUGGAGCCUGUCCCAGCUUCUAAGAAGGGGGAAAAGAGCCCCCCUGAAGAGACAUUUCCCCAAGCGAGGACUGAAAGCAGGUGCAAGCAGGAAGCACAGGGGAUCCCUAGAAUUAGACUGAAAGUAAAUAUCCCUUUAACAUCUUGGGGUUUCUACUGCUGGUUUCACACCCUCAUAGGCCAUAGGAUAGUGAUGCUCACAGCUGCUGCCUGACUAUCCAGACUGAUAGGGUCUCCUCAGUGUGUGUGCAUGCAGGUGCUGGCCAGUGCCCCACUGACUGGUGUAUGCUUAUUCCCAAAGAUGUGCUUCUUAUGGUGUUGACCAGAUUUCUUGGAAAGUGUGACAGCUGCAAACAGAAUCAACAACGUCUGGGCAGGGGUGUGGCCAGGGCAAAGCUCAGUUACGGGCUGAAGCUCUCUAUAUUUUCCAUAAUAUACAAUAAAAUUUUCUCCUGCUGCUAGAAGUAACACUUCUCUGCAGUGGCAUUCUGAACAUGUAUUAUGUCCUGAUUAGGAAAUUGAAUUCUUCACUGAGUUCUCCUACUUACUUGAUGGGAUUCUUUUAAGUUUUGUUUAUUUCCAAACUGGAGAAACACUGGGUUGGUGAAUGCAGAAUUCAGGUGCACCUGCCUGAGUUCCAUGACCUAGAAAAUAGGUCUGAUUUGUUUUCAAAGUUUAGCAAAACAAAGCUAUUGAAAAGUGAAAGUAUUAACACAGACUUUUCUGAUGAUGUGUACAACAUGCCCUUCUUCAGAAAAUCUUUUGUGUUGGAAGAAUGUCUAGUAGGUCACGUAGCCCUCUUUGCGUAGUGCAACAUUCUUUUCAUCAUUCGUGCAGUGCCCUGUGUGAUGACUGUCAUGUUCAGCUUUCCAUAGCUCUGGGGGCUCUGGCGUACUUUUCAAUUGCCUGCCUCUUCUUAGAGUUGUAAGGACUUGUUCUUUGCUCAAGCUUACCCUUCUAAAUAUGAUUUUAAUAUCAAUCUUAA